UUGUAUUAGUAUAAAAUUAUUUUUUUAAAUGUAGCAUACAAUAUAGCUCAGUAUUUGUAUUAUUUAUUUUAAACUGACUUUUUUCUGAUCUUUAUCAAGGGUGCCAAUAAUUAUGGACUUGACAAUGUCUGCCUAGAGUAUAUGCAUUUGCUUAAAUAACAGAAACAGAGCAUGAGGGGAAAGUUGAUUGAGAGAAAAAUGUAUAUCCUGAAAGGGCUUAUCAAUCUAUUUGAUCAAAUGCUGUUUUUUUCUAUAUAUUUAGUUCAGCUGAAAAUACACGUGGCAGAAUCCUUGGACAAGAUCACACUAUCACGUGUUGAUGGUUUCACUUUCAGCCCUAAUAAUGAAACUACUCAUAUAUUGGAUUACAAGGAUGAGAACACAGGGGAGUUUGUAUGCAAGAAAGACUGAAGGGAAGAUCGCAAAAUGUAUGUGAAAGGUCGGAGUAAGUACAGUACUGCCCCUUUCCUCAAUGUACAAUGAUAUGGCACAAGAAUUGAAGAAGUCAAUAUUUGUUUGUGUGUAUGCCAUUAUAAUACACGUCAUUAUAAUGUACAUGUGUGUAAGGGAUUGUGCGUGCGACUGCUUGCAUGCAUUGUGUGUAAGUAUGGCGUGUUUGUGUGUGUGUCCAGCCUGUGAUAAAUGCAUUAAACUGGAUACAGCUACGGCUGUAGGGAUGGUUGUGGGAGUCCUGGUGGCCACUGCCUGAUUGGAGUAGCUGUUUACUGCAUCGCCUCACAGCCCAAAGCAACACUAACCGCCGGCAAGAAAACAUCUAGCAACAUGGGUCUCAUCCACAAUGAGGCCAGUGUUAACAAAACAUCUUGUCCACAAUGAGACAGAUCUGAAUACAGCACUCUGCCGGAAAGGAGAUGAAGAGAAUAAUAAUAUGUGCUCAGUGCUACAUUACUUUCACCACCCCUCAGAAUAAUAGUUGUAAAGCAUUGAGAAAUCAGGUCCACAAUGUCCAUGACAAGUCUCUCAACUGUCAAUUUGAUGUACAGAACCAUUGACUGUACAAGUUAAUGCCAUUUGGAUGUUCGAUGUACAGUGGGGCAAAAAAAAGUAUUUAGUCAGCCACCAAUUGUG